rnacentral:rRNA from 1 species
GAUGAACGCUAGCGGCAGGCUUAAUACAUGCAAGUCGAGGGGCAGCAGGUUUGUAGCAAUACAGAUGCUGGCGACCGGCAAACGGGUGCGGAACACGUACACAACCUUCCUUUAAGUGGGGAAUAGCCCAGAGAAAUUUGGAUUAAUACCCCGUAACAUUAUGAUGUGGCAUCACAUUAUAAUUAUAGCUCCGGCGCUUAAUGAUGGGUGUGCGGCUGAUUAGGUAGUUGGCGGGUAACGGCCCACCAAGCCUGCGAUCAGUAACUGGUGUGAGAGCACGACCAGUCACACGGGCACUGAGACACGGGCCCACUCCUACGGGAGGCAGCAGUAAGGAAUAUUGGGCAAUGGAGGCAACUCUGACCCAGCCAUGCCGCGUGGAGGAUGAAGGUCCUCU